rnacentral:rRNA from 1 species
UACGAAGGGGGCUAGCGUUGUUCGGAAUUACUGGGCGUAAAGCGCACGUAGGCGGGUCGUUAAGUCAGGGGUGAAAUCCCAGAGCUCAACUCUGGAACUGCCUUUGAUACUGGCGACCUAGAGUCCGGAAGAGGUUAGUGGAAUUCCCAGUGUAGAGGUGAAAUUCGUAGAUAUUCGCAAGAACACCAGUGGCGAAGGCGGCUCACUGGCCCGGUACUGACGCUGAGGUGCGAAAGCGUGGGGAGCAAACAGG